rnacentral:lncRNA from 1 species
UGCAGCGCUUUCGAGCAGCACCGCCACCUCUGCCACGAGAUCAUCCAGCAGCAGAGGCAGUUCAUCAUCGAGCACAGCCUGCUGGUCCCCUCUCCGCUCCAGGACCUGUAUGAAGUGUACAUACGGGAGCUGGACGAGGGGAACCUGGACCGCGCCGUGGCUCUGGACAAAGUCACCAUCGGACAGCCCACCAGGGAGGGCUCCCUACCAAAGAUCACCGUGCCCGGCCGCGGCCGCGCCCCUUCACGGACCUGGACUCGGACCAGGACAGCGGGCGCACCGACGGCUCCGGCACCAGGAGGGGCCAGGCCAAGCUCCGCAGGCACACCCUGCCGCCGAUCCUCCCCGACCCGAGAGGUAGGGCCGCCACGUAACACAACACCGCUGGGUCGGAUAGAAACAAGAUAAAGGCCCUUUGAAUAAAGGGCUGGUCCCAUUAUGGCCAUUAUGUUGUUGUCGUGUUAUAUUGCCGUCUAUUAGUCUCUCAACCAGGGGUGCUCUGCUCUCUGUCCUCCUCUUUCUACCAGUGACAAUAAUCAAGUGUUAAAGAAUAGCCCCCAUGCCAGGCAGAUGAAGAGCUCUGCUGUGAUGACGCCCCCGCCCAUCCACAUCAACGGGCAUGGAAACAGAGAGCUGCAGCCGCUGGCCCCCAGACGGCUGCCUGAGCUACGCCCGGCUCAGCUACAGCGUCAGCAGCCACCUGGACUCGUCCCCCGAGAGCAGCGAGAUCGGCACCGACCGCCCCGCUGUCCUACAAGGAGCGGCAGCAGAUCCUCCGGGGCGUCAGAACAUCGCAGUGAAGGCGGCCCACCGCCGCACCAAGGCCCUGGAGGGGGACGCGCUGCACCUGCCCCCCCCCCCCUCGCCCCUGGACCCCCAGAAGCAGAAGAGCACCCUGUCCCUGCUGAGCGAGGCCGCGGCGCCGCCCGCCGGGGCCCGCCCGCGCGCCGGGCCGCCGGCCCAGCCCCGAGCUGCGGCACGCCACCUCGGACGACACCCUGUCCAGCAGCACGGGCGAGGGGCCCCCCGCCCCCCAGGGCACCUGGACCCGCCAGCGCUUCCGCGCGCCCGCCGCCAAGAACCCCACGCCGCGCGAGCCCGACUUUGAGGCCCGCCGCAGGAAGCGCCGCUCCCGCUCCUUCGAGGUCACGGGUCAGGCACUGCCUCAGCCCAAGACCCACGCCGCCCAGAGGUUCCGCCCCCUGGACAGCACGUCGGACCCCCACCUCCACAUCAACGGACAGCCCCAGCCCCCAUGCUCCGCCCCCAGCUCCGGGGAGUUCCUCCGCUCACCAAAGUCAGGGGGUCCCAAAGCACCCAGCAAACCGGCACCAUCGCAGAGUCCUCCACAGUCCCCCUGACCAACCUGAAGAGGGUGUCCCAGCUGAGGCAGCCGCUCCUCUACAUCACAUCCGGGGCCCAGCGAACACGCAGGCACUGAGCGGCGUGACCCCCGUCCUCCCGUCCCCCCCAUCGCCCAUCACACACGUCAAAAAAUAG